UACAGAGGAGCCAAGCGUUGUCCGGAUUGACUGGGCGUAAAGGGUGCGUAGGCGGCGGAGUAAGUUGGGUGUGAAAUCCCGGGGCUUAACCUCGGAAUGGCAUUCAAUACUGCUUCGCUUGAGUACUGGAGAGGAGGCUGGAAUUUACGGUGUAGCAGUGAAAUGCGUAGAUAUCGUAAGGAAGGCCGGUGGCGAAAGCGAGCCUCUGGACAGUUACUGACGCUGAUGCACGAAGGCCAGGGGAGCAAACGGG
rnacentral:rRNA from 1 species